AUGGACCGUUUCCGUAUGGCGGCUUCCCAACCCAACAAACCAACGAUGAAGGAGGAUGGCGAAGAUGAGAUGGCGGGAUGGUGGGAGAAGGCUGCGAAGAAGCUUAGAGAGGAGGAUGCAGCCAAGCUAAAGAAGAAGAAGGAAGAGGAGCUUGAGAAGGAGAGGAAGCGAAAACAGAGAGCGGCAAAUGCGAUGCGCGCUAGGGAGCAAGCGUUGGUGAGGAAAUGUGAGGAGGCACAGAAGAAGCGUCAACAUGAUUUUGAAGAAAGAACCAUGAAGCUUUGGGCAAUUGCAGCUGAAAAAGAAGAGAGGGACAAUCAGAUAUUCAUGGAGAGGAUAGUUAAGGAGGCUCACCUCAUAAGAAAAAGGGAGGAGGAGGAGGAAGAAGAGAGGAAGAAGAAGAAGGGAAAGGGGCCUUGCUCUACGCAAUAG
rnacentral:rRNA from 1 species